UUAAGGAUCUUGAGAUAGGGAGAUGAUUCUGGACUGUCCAGGUGGGCCCUAAAUGCAAUCACAUGUGUUCCUUAGGGAAACUAGGCAGAGGGGGAUUUCAUGCCGAUGGAAGAGGAGGAGACCUUGUGGCCACAGAAUCGGACAGUGCAGUGAUGUAACCACAAGUCAAGGAGGGCCAGCAGCCACCAGAAGCAGGAAGAGGCAAGGAGCAGACUCUCCCGUGGAGCCUCUGGAGGCAGGAUGGCCCUGCUGACUGCAUGAUUCCAAAGAUACUGAUUUCGAACUUUUGGCCUCUAGACCUAAUCUUUGGGGAAGGGGGAGUAGACUCCACACACAAAGUCAUGUCCAGUUUCCGAUAAUCCCUUUGGCAGCAAUAGUUGCUCACUCUCUCUCUGUACCAGCCUCUGCUAGGAGCUCUCUGUGAAAGAGUGUUCUACAAAACAAGGACACAUUGUCUCUGCCUCUAUUCUAAAGCUGCUGUUCUGGAGACCAGAAGUCUGAAAUCAAGAUGCUGGCAAGGGGACUACUCUGGUGGCUGUGGUGAAGAAUCCACCUGCCUGCCAAUGCAGGAAACACGGGUUUCGAUCCCAGGUCCAGGGAAGAUCCCACAUGUUGCGGAGCAACUAAGCCCACGUGCCACAACUGUUGAGCUGAUGCUUUAGAACCAGCAACUACAACUGCUGAGCCCACGCACUACAGCGACCGUGGCAUGCAUGCCCUAAAGCCUGUGUUCUGCAACAGGAGAAGCCGCUGCAAUGAGACACCUAUGCACUGCAACUGGAGAGUAGCCCCUGCUAGCUGCAGCUGGAGCAAGCCCACGGGCAGCAACAAAGACCCAGAACAGUAACAAAUAAUAAAUAAAUAAAAUUAAAAAAAAA